GGAGAGGUGGCAGAGUGGUCGAAUGUACCUGACUCGAAAUCAGGCGUACGCGCGAGCGUACCGUGGGUUCGAAUCCCACCCUCUCCGCCA
rnacentral:tRNA from 10 species